UACGUAGGCAGCGAGCGUUGUUCGGAAUUACUGGGCGUAAAGGGCGCGUAGGCGGGUGUUUAAGUCAGAGGUCAAAUCCCAGAGCUCAACUCUGGAACUGCCUUUGAUACUGGACACCUAGAGUACGGGAGAGGUGUGUGGAACUCCGAGUGUAGAGGUGAAAUUCGUAGAUAUUCGGAAGAACACCAGUGGCGAAGGCGACACACUGGCCCGUUACUGACGCUGAGGCGCGAAAGCGUGGGGAGCAAACAGG
rnacentral:misc_RNA from 1 species